CAGGUUACGGAGCCGACAAAGACCUAAAUGCGAGAGGAGAUAUCAAGAGUCCAGAUGUGGCUUUUGCCUGCAUCAAUGUGUCCUGGGAGGACAUGGUGUUUGGGAGGCAGUGCCAUGUCUUUCUGUCCGGACUCAUCCUGGACUCCAUAAGACUAGAGGACUCCAAGGACUGCACUCUCAAGAUAACCAACCUGGUCUAUUUCCUCUGGACAGGACAGGCGAAGGCUGAGGACUUUGUCUCUGAGCUGCUCAGAAUCAUUUGUUCUGAGAGACGGGAGAAGAGCAGAGAGCAGCUGCUCCUGCAGUGG